UACGGAGUCGAGGGGGUGGGACCGCCUAGUGGACCCGCUCUGGAGGUCAUCGCUCGGCGGGGCGCGUCGAGUGGCCAGCGAGAUUUGAGGGGAGGGUCUUUCAAAUGUCGCCAGCAGGAGUUCGGGUGCCCGGUGGGAGUCCGAGCGGAAGCCCUACCUCGGACCCCAAGUCCAUCUCGCCCAGGUCGCACUCUUCUGUGCCUCGACUUCUUACUUGAGCCACUUUCUCUUCCUUCUCUCAGGGACCCCUGCGGUCCCUGCGCUCGGAAAUCCGGAUUUCCGGGAUGCUGAACUUGGAGGAGAAAAUUGUGCCGGAGUUGAUCCUUUCCUUCUCUUAGGCCAAGGCUUGAUUGAGCAAGGCGGGGCUAAGAAAGCACUUGGUGCGGUGACAAGAAACAUCGUCCUUGUUAAAGUCAACUCUUAAAUGUUUUGAGGGAGGUUAACUUCCUGCACGCCCAGAACUUUCGGGUUACUUCCGACGUUGAAGUAGUUACCCAGUAGAUAAGUACAAACUGUCUGCAUUACAACCUGGUGAGGAGGACCCAAAAGGGACAUGCAUCUUUCUCGCUGGUGGUCCCACAAAGCUUGGACACAUUUCUGGCUGUGCGCAGGAGAUGGAUUCUGAGGUGUUGAAAUCACAAAAGAGAGUAAAAAGAUCACUUCGAGGGACUUCAAG